AAAAAAAAAUAGAAAUUGUUUUUACACUUAUUAAGAUAAGAUAAAAGCUAACACUAUUGUUGAGGUUGUAAAUGAUCAUGAAUCAGUUUUCCAGACAAUUUUUUUUUGGGAUAGCUGAAUUACUUAGCUGUAGAACCAGAUCCUGAAGUAACGUUUAUCAAACUUUGCAAAUUGGCCACCAUUGAAGAAAACUUUGAUUCUGAAAAUGAUGAUAUCGAAAUUCUUGUUCCAGUCUCGGUUACACUUCAGGUCCUAUCCUUUGGACAUGCCAUUUAUAACUGCACAAACUCUCUUCAGGUAUCCCAACUGAAAUUUCUGGAGAAAGAAUUGCAGUCUGCAUACCACUCCUUAGGCAGUGAUCAUUACCCUGACCAGUGUGUCCCCUUAAAAAUCCUCCUUGAUCAUCCUAUUAUUCAAGAUAAUAUAAGGAAAGCUAGGAUACUGUCUUUAUCUGACUUGUCAGCAGCUGUGCAUUCUGCAUUAUUGUGAUCAUCACUGGACUUCAUUGAAUAAAGGAAUUCAUUUGUCUGAAAGCAAAUAGUUAAGGAAAAUAUUGUCUUGGUUACCAACACACAACUGAAUUCACUAUAUGCUUACGAAGGUACAAGUUUUUACAAUUAACAUUUAAAAGAUAAAUACUGACUGCUUUCAUAUUCAGAGUAAAAUAAUUUUAAACUGUUUUUGUUGUUUUAGCCUUCAAUGGUUUUUGUUUCUUUAGGUAAGACGAAAAUUCAUAAUGCAAUAACAAUGUGUUGCAUAUUUAUCAUUUAUAGUGUUUAAUUUUAAAUUCUGUUUUAAAUUUUCUUUUUAACAAUUAGAAAAAUUGUCUUUACAAAAUAUUUUCUCAGUUUAAACAUCAGAAAAGAAUUGUAAAGUGUAAUACAUUUAACAUUCAAACAUCAAAGUGUUUAACAAAAGCAAUAGGAAUGUAUUUGAAAAUAAAAAUGAGAAAGUUAAGGGCCGAAGUUUCAAUAAAUUAUAU